AGUGAACGCUGGCGGUAGGCCUAACACAUGCAAGUCGAACGGCAGCACAGUAAGAGCUUGCUCUUACGGGUGGCGAGUGGCGGACGGGUGAGGAAUACAUCGGAAUCUACUUUUUCGUGGGGGAUAACGUAGGGAAACUUACGCUAAUACCGCAUACGACCUACGGGUGAAAGCAGGGGAUCUUCGGACCUUGCGCGAUUGAAUGAGCCGAUGUCGGAUUAGCUAGUUGGCGGGGUAAAGGCCCACCAAGGCGACGAUCCGUAGCUGGUCUGAGAGGAUGAUCAGCCACAAUGGGACUGGAACACGGGCCAGACCCCUACGGGGGGCAGGAGGGGGGAAUAUUGGACAAAGGGGGCAAGCCAGAUCCAGCCAUACCGGGGGGGGGAAAGAGGCCUUCGGGUUUUAAAGCCCUUUUUUUGGGAAAAAAAAGCAGCAGGUUAAUACCCCGGUUUUCUGACGGGACCCAAAGAAAAAGCACCGGCUAACUUCGUG
rnacentral:rRNA from 1 species